rnacentral:tRNA from 1 species
GCUCAGUAGCUCAGUGGUAGAGCGGUCGGCUGUUAACUGACUGGCAACAAUUAGAAUUGGUUCGAAUCCGACCUACUUGAGAUUCCA